rnacentral:rRNA from 1 species
GACGAACGCUGGCGGCGUGCUUAACACAUGCAAGUCGAACGGAAAGGCCCUGCUUUUGUGGGGUGCUCGAGUGGCGAACGGGUGAGUAACACGUGAGUAACCUGCCCUUGACUUUGGGAUAACUUCAGGAAACUGGGGCUAAUACCGGAUAGGAGCUCCUGCUGCAUGGUGGGGGUUGGAAAGUUUCGGCGGUUGGGGAUGGACUCGCGGCUUAUCAGCUUGUUGGUGGGGUAGUGGCUUACCAAGGCUUUGACGGGUAGCCGGCCUGAGAGGGUGAACGGCCACAUUGGGACUGAGAUACGGCCCAGACUCCUACGGGAGGCAGCAGUGGGGAAUAUUGCACAAUGGGCGGAAGCCUGAUGCAGCAACGCCGCGUGCGGGAUGACGGCCUUCGGGUUGUAAACCGCUUUCGCCUGUGACGAAGCGUGAGUGACGGUAAUGGGUAAAGGAGCACCGGCUAACUACGUG